CACGUAGGGACCAAGCGUUGUCCGGAUUCAUUGGGCGUAAAGAGCUCGUAGGCGGUUCGAUAAGUCGGGUGUGAAACCUCCAGGCUCAACCUGGAGACGCCACCCGAUACUGUCGUGACUAGAGUCCAGUAGGGGAGCGUGGAAUUCCUGGUGUAGCGGUGAAAUGCGUAGAGAUCGGGAGGAAUACCGGUGGCGAAAGCGACUCUCUGGACCGCAACUGACGCUGAGGCGCGAAAGCGUGGGGAGCAAACAGG
rnacentral:rRNA from 1 species